rnacentral:rRNA from 1 species
CCUACGGGUGGCUGCAGUGGGGAAUAUUGCGCAAUGGGCGAAAGCCUGACGCAGCGACGCCGCGUGAGGGAUGAAGGUCUUCGGAUCGUAAACCUCUGUCAGCAGGGAAGAACGGUCACUGUGCUAAUCAGCAGUGAAUUGACGGUACCUGCAAAGGAAGCACCGGCUAACUCCGUGCCAGCAGCCGCGGUAAUACGGAGGGUGCGAGCGUUAAUCGGAAUUACUGGGCGUAAAGCGCUCGUAGGCGGUAUGUCAUGUCAAGGGUGAAAUCCCCGCGCUCAACGUGGGAACUGCCUUUGAAACUGGCAAACUGGAGUGUGUGAGAGGAUAGUGGAAUUCCAGGUGUAGGAGUGAAAUCCGUAGAUAUCUGGAGGAACAUCAGUGGCGAAGGCGACUAUCUGGCACAUAACUGACGCUGAGGCACGAAGGCCAGGGGAGCGAAAGGGAUUAGAUACCCGGGUAGUC